GACAGAGGGUGCAAACGUUGUUCGGAAUUACUGGGCGUAAAGCGCGUGUAGGCGGCCCUGCAAGUCGGGUGUGAAAUCCCACGGCUCAACCGUGGAAGUGCAUUCGAAACUGCAGGGCUAGAGUCCUGGAGAGGAAGGUGGAAUGCUUGGUGUAGAGGUGAAAUUCGUAGAUAUCAAGCGGAACACCGGUGGCGAAGGCGGCCUUCUGGACAGUGACUGACGCUGAGAUGCGAAAGCGUGGGGAGCAAACAGG
rnacentral:rRNA from 1 species